rnacentral:rRNA from 1 species
UCAAGAAACUAAGGGCGCAAGGCGGAUGCCUUGGCACCAGGAGGCGAAGAAGGACGUGACAAGCAACGAAAACCUCGAAUAGGAGCAAAUAUCCAGUAACUCGGGGGAAUCCGAAUGGGGAAACCUACUAGACACACUCUAGUAUCCAUACGUAAAUACAUAGCGUAUGGAGGCGAAUGUUCUGAACUGAAACAUCUAAGUAGGAACAAGAAAAGAAAGAAAACUCGAUUCUCCAAGUAGCGGCGAGCGAACAGAGAACAGCCCAUUAAAGUAAGACUAAACUGAUAGACAAAUCUUAUGGAAAGAAGAACCAAAGAAAGUAACAGUCUUGUAGUCGAAAUCAGAAUAGAGACACUUUAAGAAGAGUACCACGGAGCACGUGAAAUUCUGUGGGAAGAUAGGGGGACCACCCCCUAAGGCUAAAUACUACCUGGUGACCGAUAGCGAAUAGUACCGUGAGGGAAAGGUGAAAAGAACCCCGGGAGGGGAGUGAAACAGAACCUGAAACCUUGCGCCUACAAGCAGACAGAGGAAGAAGACUUCUAAUGUCGUACUUUUUGUAGAACGGGCCAGCGAGUUACGAUACGUAGCAAGAUUAAACAUUUAAGAUGUGAAGUCGCAGGGAAACCGAGUCUUAAUAGGGCGAAAGUUAUGUGUUGUAGACCCGAAACCGGGUGAUCUAUCCAUGGGCAGAGUGAAGGUAAAGUAAAAUUUACUGGAGGCUCGAACCGGGUAGCGUUUAAAAGCUAUCGGAUGACCUGUGGAUAGGGGUGAAAAGCCAAUCGAACUCGGAUAUAGCUGGUUCUCCUCGAAAUAGCUUUAGGGCUAGCCUUGUUUUAGAUUACAGGAGGUAGAGCACUGAAUAGUCUAGGGGAAGUAAUUCUACCGAAACUUAUCAAACUCCGAAUGCCUGAAAAUCGAUGAACAGGAGUCAGACCAUGAGGGAUAAGCUUCAUAGUCAAAAGGGAAACAGCCCAGACCACCAGUUAAGGUCCCAAAAUACAGAUUAAGUGGGAAAGGAUGUAAUACUACUCAGACAACCAGGAUGUUGGCUCAGAAGCAGCCAUACAUUUAAAGAGUGCGUAAUAGCUCACUGGUCAAGUGGUAAUGCGCCGAAGAUGAACGGGGCUAAAUCUGAUACCGAAACUGUGGGAUAGAAAAGCAAUUAUGCGAGAAGUAUGAAGUAAAAGUGAUUAGGAAAUAUAUCAACUAGUAAAGUAAGAGAGAAAAGACACAAACUAAAACUAUUAAACGAUACAAUUUCUAAAACACUUAACAACAUACAACUGGCAUAAUAGCUUUUCUAUCGGUAGAGGAGCGUUGUAUAUGAAUUGAAGCAAAAAGCGUAAGCAAUUGUGGAUUAUAUACAAGUGAGAAUGCUGGCAUGAGUAGCGAAAAGGGAUGUGAGAAUCAUCCCCGUCGAAAGCCCAAGGAUUCCUGAGCAAGGCUCGUCCUCUCAGGGUAAGUCGGGACCUAAGGCGAGGCCGAAAGGCGUAGUCGAUGGACAACAGGUAGAAAUUCCUGUACUACAAGAUUGUGAUUGAGAGAAGUACUGACGCAGAAGGAAAAGUCGAGCGUGUGAAUGGUAGAGCACGUCCAAGUAACAAGCCAGAAUAUACAGGCAAAUCCGUAUAUUCGUCAACGUAAGUUAUCAUGGGGAGCAGAAAGAUGCGAAGCGACAGAUUCAAACUGCCAAGAAAAGGUGCUAUCGAAUAAUCUUGUACCCGUACCGCAAACCGACACAGGUAGGCAAGAAGAGAAUUCUAAGACGCGCGGAAGAACCUUUGUUAAGGAACUCGGCAAAAUAAUCCCGUAAGUUAGCGAGAAGGGAUGCCUAAGAAAUUAGGUCGCAGAGAAUAGGCCCAAGCGACUGUUUACCAAAAACACAAGUAUCUGCUAAAUCGAAAGAUGAAGUAUAGGUGCUGACACCUGCCCGGUGCUGGAAGGUCAAGGGGACUUGUUAGAGCAAUCGAAGCAACGAACUUAAGCCCCAGUAAACGGCGGCCGUAACUAUAACGGUCCUAAGGUAGCGAAAUUCCUUGUCGGGUAAGUUCCGACCCGCACGAAAGGUGUAACGAUUUGGGCACUGUCUCAACAAAGGAUCCGGUGAAAUUGUAGUAGUCGUGAAGAUGCGACUUACCCACGGUAGGACGGAAAGACCCCGUGGAGCUUUACUGCAGGUUGACAUUGAAUUUUGGGAUUAAAUGUACAGGAUAGGUGGGAGACGAAGAAGCAAGCUCGCCAGAGUUUGCAGAGUCACUGUUGGGAUACCACCCUUUUAAUUCUAAAGUUCUAACUAGUUACCAUGAAGCUGGUAAUAGGACACUGGGAGGCCUUCUGGGGAAAACUCAGCACCUCAUCACUGUGCUUACCGACAGAAACCACAGAAGCGGCAGAAGCAUGCUCUCCAUUUCCUUCUCUCCUCCAAAUCUCACACGAGGUCAUCUGAUUGUUCAUCUCAGCAGAAGGCUCGUGGGAAUACUGGCAACGAAAAUAAUAAAGAUGCUAUCUAAUAUGGUAGCAACUGCUUUAAAGGGUCUUCAAAAUCAGAUUUCCAUUUAUAUGUCAACAGUACAAAUACUUCUAAAUCUACAUGGCCCUCUUUACCUUUUGAUACAUAAUUAAAUGUUACCUAUUAUGAGCUAAAAGUCAUGUCUUUUUAUCUGAAUGCCUAUAACAUCAACCAUCUGUGUCACCUGUCAUACUACUUUGUUUUGUUGGUGACCUUGU